AGGCGGCCCCGGCCGCGCCGCGCCCAUGGCGGUGGCCAGGAGGAUCAAAACUUUGCUGACGGUCAACAUCCUAGUGUUCGUGGGCAUCGUGCUGUUCUCUGUGUACUGCCGCCUGCAGGCCCGCUCCGAGGCGCUGGUGCAGGUCGUGCGCGCCGCCGACCGCCGGGUGCGCAGCCGGCUCGCCAAGGCGGGCGCACUGGCCGACCGCGAGGCCAUCCUGCAGCGCCUGGACCAUCUGGAGGAGGUGGUCUACAACCAGCUUAACGGCCUGGCCAAGCCCAUCGGCCUGGUGGAGGGGCCAGGUGGCCUGGGCCAGGGGGGCAUGGCGGCUGCCCUGCGCGAAGACAGCCAAGAGGUUGAGGGCCGCUACGAGGAGUACGGGUACAAUGCCCAGCUCAGUGACCGCAUCUCGCUGGACAGGACCAUCCCCGACUACCGGCCCCAGAGGUGCCGACAGAUGACGUACGCCGAGGACUUGCCGCAGGUCUCCGUAGUCUUCAUCUUUGUCAACGAGGCCCUGUCGGUCAUCCUGCGCUCCGUGCACAGCGUGGUCAACCACACGCCCUCGCGGCUGCUCAAGGAGGUCAUCCUGGUGGACGACAACAGCGACAACGCGGACCUCAAGUUCAGCCUGGACCAGUAUGUGCACAGGCGGUACCCGGGGCUGGUCAAGGUCGUGCGCAACAGCCGGCGGGAAGGCCUGAUCCGCGCACGGCUGCAGGGCUGGAAGGCAGCCACUGCACCUGUCGUCGGCUUCUUUGACGCCCACGUGGAGUUCAACACUGGCUGGGCCGAGCCCGCCCUGGCGCGGAUCCGCGAGGACCGGCGGCGCGUGGUCCUGCCGGCCAUCGACAACAUCAAGUACAGCACGUUCGAGGUGCAGCAGUACGCCAACGCCGCCCACGGCUACAACUGGGGCCUGUGGUGCAUGUACAUCGUCCCCCCGCAGGACUGGCUGGACCGCGGUGACGAGGCCGCGCCCAUCAGGACGCCCGCCAUGAUCGGCUGCUCGUUUGUGGUGGACCGCGAAUACUUCGGGGACAUCGGCCUGCUGGACCCCGGCAUGGAGGUGUAUGGGGCCGAGAACAUCGAGCUGGGCAUGCGGGUGUGGCAGUGCGGCGGCAGCAUGGAGGUGCUGCCCUGCUCCCGCGUGGCCCACAUCGAGCGCACCAGGAAGCCCUACAACAACGACAUCGACUACUACGCCAAGCGCAAUGCGCUGCGGGCCGCCGAGGUGUGGAUGGACGAGUUCAAGUCGCACGUGUACAUGGCCUGGAACAUCCCCAUGACCAGCCCCGGGGUGGACUUCGGGGACGUGUCCGAGAGGCUGGCCCUGCGCCAGAGGCUGAAGUGCCGCAGCUUCCGGUGGUACCUGGAGAACGUGUAUCCCGAGAUGAGGGUCUACAACAACACCCUUACGUACGGAGAGGUAAGAAACAGCAAAGCCAGCGGCUACUGCUUGGACCAGGGGGCGGAAGACGAUGACCGGGCCAUCCUGUACCCGUGCCACGGCAUGUCCUCCCAGGGGUCAGGAGUGCGUCCCCUCUGUCCAUGGGGUGCCCCAGGGGCCCAUCCGCUCAGGGCAGCUGUCCCCCCAGCUUGUGCGGUACAGCGCUGACGGCCUCCUGCAGCUGGGCCCACUGGGCUCUACCGCCUUCCUGCCUGACUCCAAGUGUCUGGUGGACGACAGUCGAGGCCGCACACCUGCCCUGCGGAGAUGUGAGGAUGUGGCUCGUCCCACACAGCGGCUCUGGGACUUUACACAGGGAGGCCCCAUCGUGAGCCGGGACACAGGCCGCUGCCUGGAGGUAGAGGUGUCCAAAGACGUGAGCUUCGGGCUGCGGCUGGUUGUGCAGCGGUGCUCGGGGCAGAAGUGGACCAUCCGGAACUGGGUCAAGCACGGGAGGCACUGACCCUCGCCUGCCACCUUUGCCACAGGCACGGCUCUUGAGCCCCACAGACCCUCAGGGCUGGGCCCCGACUCCCAAGUCGGGGCAGGAGGGGAGCACCAGGCCACAGCCUCGGUCACCGUGUCAGGGGCGCGGACCCCAAGGACAGGUGGGUUGUCCAGGGGCCUCCAGGGACGGCGAUAGUAAUGCCGAACACGUGCCUUUUCCUCGGAGUUCCUGCCUUCCUGCAUGUGCUAAGCCCUGUGCACAGCCCACGGGGACAGUGCCCAGCCAGCUGAAGACGGACGAGGACAAGGAGGACAGUCCCGAGACCGCACACAGUGCUCCCACCUGGAGAGAACAGAUCCAGGCCUCACCUGUGCCCCAGCGCCUCUGUUCAGCCAAUCUAAGGCAGAGAUCAGAGCGGCACUGGAGGCCUGGUAGCAGGGAGAGGGGAGAAAGCUCUGCUCAUGGCCCUAAAAACCCAAAGCUGUGCUAUGGAGGUGACACCAGACCAUGGCCACAAAGCCGUGGGGACAUGUGCCUGCCCGGCCAGGUUGCCUGCUGGCCGGGGUCCAGGGAUGGCACUGGCCGGGGGUCCCAGCUUUGCCCCCCCCAGCCCUGGCUUCAGCUCAUGUUGCUCUCCUGCCCUCGGCGGCAGGGGGUCAGUGAAGGACACCCGGGCCCUUGCCUGUUUUUUAAAUAAAGUUUUAUUGGCACAUGGCCACA